GAAGAUGGGGGAGGAUUUUGUUCGCAAUUCUGGUCUUCCGUUCACCAUAAUCAGAGCUGGUAGAUUAACAGACGGACCAUACACAUCAUAUGAUUUGAACACACUGUUACAAGCUACAGCUGGUGAACGGCGUGCAGUUCUGAUAGGUCAAGGGGAUAAACUUGUUGGAGAAGUUAGUAGGCUUGUUGUUGCAGAAGCUUGCAUACAAGCACUGGACAUAGAUUUCACAGAAGGACAAACUUAUGAAGUAAACUCUAUUCCGGGUGAUGGACCAGGAACCGAUACACUGAAGUGGCAGGAGCUAUUUAGAGCUUCUCACAGCAAUUAACUGCAGUUCAACUAUAUUUCUUAUACAGAUUAUCAGAUGAAGCUCUCGAUUUAUCGAUACAUAUACACUGAACUGUGAGAGUAUUUGUAAGUAGUAGAUAGAGUACAGUAAGAACGUACCUACAGCCAAAAGAUCGAUGAUCCUUGUUGCUGCUGCUAUCUGGUUCAAUCAUGUAAAAAAGUAUAAAACGAU
rnacentral:misc_RNA from 1 species